AUACGGAAGGCAGCAGUAGGGAAUAUUGGACAAUGGGCGAAAGCCUGAUCCAGCCAUGCCGCGUGAGGGAAGAAGGUCCUCUGGAUUGUAAACCUCUUUUGGCGGGGAAUAAACCUGCGCUAUACGCGCAGCUGAAGGUACCCGCAGAAUAAGCACCGGCUAACUCCGUGCCAGCAGCCGCGGUAAUACGGAGGGUGCAAGCGUUGUCCGGAUUCAUUGGGUUUAAAGGGUGCGUAGGCGGCCUUGUAAGUCAGCGGUGAAAUACCCUCGCUCAACGAGGGAACUGCCGUUGAUACUGUGAGGCUUGAGUUCGUGCGAGGUUACUGGAAUGCGUGGUGUAGCGGUGAAAUGCAUAGAUAUCACGCAGAACACCGAUUGCGAAGGCAGGUGACUGGCACGUGACUGACGCUGAGGCACGAAAGUGUGGGGAGCAAACAGGAUUAGAUACCCCUGUAGUCGC
rnacentral:rRNA from 1 species